rnacentral:rRNA from 1 species
CCUACGGGAGGCAGCAGUGAGGAAUAUUGGUCAAUGGCCGGAAGGCUGAACCAGCCAAGCCGCGUGAGGGAGGAAGGCGCAGAGCGUCGCAGACCUCUUUUGCCGGGGGACAAAAGGCCGGACUCGUCCGGUCCUGAGGGUACCCGGAGACAAAGCAUCGGCUAACUCCGUGCCAGCGGCCGCGGUAAUACGAGGGAUUCCAGCGUUAUCCGGAUUCAUUGGGUUAAAGGGGUGCGCAGGCGGGCCUUUAAGCCGGCGGGGAAAUCGCGGGGCUAAACCCCGCCGAGCCGUCGGAACUGGGGGCCUUGAGUGCGGCGGAGGCAUGCGGAAUGCGCGGUGUAGCGGUGAAAUGCAUAGAUA